UCGGGAAUUUUGGGCAAUGGGCGAAAGCCUGACCCAGCAACGCCGCGUGAAGGAUGAAGUAUUUCGGUAUGUAAACUUCGAAAGAAUAGGAAGAAUAAAUGACGGUACUAUUUAUAAGGUCCGGCUAACUACGUGCCAGCAGCCGCGGUAAUACGUAGGGACCAAGCGUUGUUCGGAUUUACUGGACGUAAAGGGCGCGUAGGCGGCAUGACAAGUCACUUGUGAAAUCUCUGGGCUUAACCCAGAACGGCCAAGUGAUACUGUCGCGCUAGAGUGCAGAAGGGGCAAUCGGAAUUCUUGGUGUAGCGGUGAAAUGCGUAGAUAUCAAGAGGAACACCUGAGGUGAAGACGGGUUGCUGGGCUGACACUGACGCUGAGGCACGAAAGCAUGGGGAGCAAAAGGGAUUAGAUACCCGCGUAGUCCCUGAGCGGGCUGGCAAGGCGCAU
rnacentral:rRNA from 1 species